GCAUUUUUUACGGAGCAAGUCAGGGAGCUGGGAGACUGGAAAAAAUCUGCUGAAAUCAGUCCUAGCCAGAUCCUCGAGGCUAAAGCAGGCAGGUUCUGGAAACCCUGACCAAAAUAUUUACAUCCAGGCCAACGGGGGGACUUUAUCCCUCUGGGAUGCAGAGCAAAAGCCACUGGAGCAGAUUCUCGUCAGAGGGGAGGUAGUGGGCAUGGAGAAAACUCUGGAGAGAUACAGUUGGACACCUUUGAACACAGAGGAAGAAUGUCUACAGCGGGCAUCCAGAUGUUUGCAUGUCUCAGUCUGCAUCUCCCAGGCCCCAGUUAGGAGCGGAGCUACGGAAACAGGAUGCUGCCUGUGUGCUUUGCUGAGGACCCGGAAGUCAGCAUCAAAACAUGACUUCACAGCAAACCUGAGUCCUAGCUGCCAGCAAUCUUCUCUACAUGGCCAACCAUGGGGACAGCCGGUGCCCCUGACCACACAAGCUCAGAAGAGUAGAAUGGGGAGAAGCCCAGAGCCAGGAGAACGCUGGGCUGUCAAAUGGACAAACAAGUCGACACUCCUGAAAGACUGAGAUCGUACACUGUCUGGCGUUUUUCUUCUCCAUCCCUGAAAAAUCUCUCUGGUUUUCUAUUUUGAUUCUUUGAACACUAACAAGAGAAGAGAAUAAAAUACGAUAAUAUGUAUGGAUUCCCCA
rnacentral:lncRNA from 1 species